GCAUCAUCCCUUAAGGUUUAUGUCUGUUUUCAGGGUGACAUUCUUCUCUCAAGGUUAUGGGGAUAUUGGAGGUGAGAGAAGAGUUUAUUCCUGAAUCAUGGAAAUGAACACACUGAAAUCAGAUCUUCCUUCCCGGUGUGGAUUUGUUCCCAGGUGUCAGCCUGCAGAGUUGGGUCACCAACCAGUUGCAAUGAUGCACAGGGAGAAGAUUCUGUCAGGUUCUUGUCUAAGAACAGAGGAGGUCAGAGCCUGGAGACUGGGUCUGGGAUUCUGUCCUGAGGAGACACAGGUUUCCAGAGAAGCAGGUUCACCUUAUGAACAUUGAGGUUUAUGGUAUUGCACUCAACACGAUGAAAAAUACAUGGGAACAGAGACAUCACUUUUUACUGCCAUAUGCAACUUACUGGAGAGAUGAACUGCUCACGUGGAGAUGAUUAGUGUCACAUGGGGUUUCAGCUGCUUCCUGCUUUCACUUUUAGAUGACAGCCUCAAUAUCAC
rnacentral:lncRNA from 1 species